UACGGGGGGGGCAAGCGUUGUUCGGAAUUACUGGGCGUAAAGGGCUCGUAGGCGGCCAACUAAGUCAGACGUGAAAUCCCUCGGCUUAACCGGGGAACUGCGUCUGAUACUGGAUGGCUUGAGUUCGGGAGAGGGAUGCGGAAUUCCAGGUGUAGCGGUGAAAUGCGUAGAUAUCUGGAGGAACACCGGUGGCGAAGGCGGCAUCCUGGACCGACACUGACGCUGAGGCGCGAAAGCCAGGGGAGCAAACGGG
rnacentral:rRNA from 1 species